UGGAUGUGCUUGUGUUUGGAUGUCCCUU
rnacentral:piRNA from 1 species